rnacentral:rRNA from 1 species
GACGAACGCUGGCGGCGUGCCUAACACAUGCAAGUCGAACGGAAAGGCCCGUCGGUGUACUCGAGUGUGGAACGGGCGAGUGAGACGUGGGCGAUUUGACCUCCACUUUGGGAUAAGGCUGGGAAUUUGGGACUAAUGCCGAAAAGGACCACGAGCUUCUGGGCCUGUGGUUUCAAGCGUGUGCGGCGUUGGAUGGGCCACCGGCCGAUCAGCCAGUUGGUGAGUUAAUCGUUGACCAAGGCGACGACGGGUAGCCGACCUGAGAGGGGGACCGGGCACAGUGGGACUGAGAGAGGGCCCAGACGGGUACGGGAGGCAGCGGUGGAAAACAUUGCGGAAUAGGCGCAAGUCUGAUACAACGGCGUCGCGUGAGUAAUGACGGCCUUCGGGGUAUAAACAUCUUUCAAUGGGAACGAGGCGAAAGUGACGGUACCUAAAGAGAAAGCAACGGCUAACUACGUG